rnacentral:rRNA from 1 species
GACGAACGCUGGCGGCGUGCUUAACACAUGCAAGUCGAACGGAAAGGCCCUGCUUUUGUGGGGUGCUCGAGUGGCGAACGGGUGAGUAACACGUGAGUAACCUGCCCUUGACUUUGGGAUAACUUCAGGAAACUGGGGCUAAUACCGGAUAGGAGCUCCUGCUGCAUGGUGGGGGUUGGAAAGUUUCGGCGGUUGGGGAUGGACUCGCGGCUUAUCAGCUUGUUGGUGGGGUAGUGGCUUACCAAGGCUUUGACGGGUAGCCGGCCUGCGAGGGUGACCGGCCACAUUGGGACUAAGAUACGGCCCAGACUCCUACGGGGGGCAACAGUGGGGAAUAUUGCACAAUGGGCGGAAGACUGAUGAAGCAACGCCGCGUGCGGGAUGACGGCCUUCGGGUUGUAAACCGCUUUCGCCUGUGACGAAGCGUGAGUGACGGUAAUGGGUAAAGAAGCACCGGCUAACUACGUG